UUCGUUGGACAGAGGAGCAGAAGUUUAGCAGGAUCCUACUUUUCAGUGCUUUGCACAAGAUGAAAGCAAGCAAGUGGAUAAUCUUUUCUGGAGGUUUUGGCUCUGAGUCCAGUGAAGUAUUUCUAAGCAUGCUUAACUCCAGGC